ACGUGAUGGAAUUUACCGCUGAUUGGAGAACCGGCUUUACUUUACGAGAUGCGCAUUAAUUAUCGGACGAUAUUUAUCGUGCACCCCUAGAUCUAAAUGUCUUUUCCAAUUAGGCCUCUAUACAGUCAAAGAAUUGUUUUUUACACAGAAUUGUUUAUUACACAGUUGAUGUCCACACAGCUGACAGCUUUACCUGUUGUAGUUUGUUCAAGCUGUGCAAUGACAUGAUAUUUUUUUCGGGUCUUAGGAGGAUAAUGAAUAGUAUUCAUAGCAAUCAGUUCACAUAUACGAUAUAUACAAUUAUUAUUAUUAGAAAAUUAUAAAAUUAAAAUAUUAUAAAAUUAUACAAUUAUUUAGACAAACAGAGGAAAUACAUUGGAUGUUCCCAUUGUGCAAAGAUACAUGCAGGUCAGCCUCUAGGGAUGCAUCAGUAUAAAAAUUGUGGCCAAUACCAAUAAGCUGAUUUAUUUAUUUUUUUAAGAUUAAAAGAGACCUAUUAUGCCCCUUAUUAUCAGUGGUGAGCGGUGACUUUUUUUUAAAAAACCCCACGCUGCAAACUGUAUUAAUCGGCACCAUGUCUUUUGCAAUGAAAUGUGUGAUCGCUUCAGUUGUCUCAAUCUUCCUCCGGGAACCUGCCGGUUAUGGAGAAGCACAAAACAACGAUUUUGUGAUGGUGUCUGUGGGUGUCUUUUUUGUAAUCGCGGCUUUGAACGAUUACAUAAUCUUGGCAUCCAUAAUCGUGAUCGCGAUUAGAAAUUUGAUUAAUUGUGCAGCCCUAAUGUUCAGUCUCCAUGCUUUUCUAUUUUAUUUUAAUUUAUUUGACCCACUUUCAGUGGUCAACAGCCAGCUUUGGUUUUGCGUUUAUACAAUCAUGACUGUAUCUUCUAUAGCUUCUGGAGGGCAGCAAUAAUAAUAAUAAUAAUAAUAAUAAUAAUAAUAAUAACAAUAAUAAUAAGAAUAAUAAUAAAAAUGACCUUUAAAUAAAAUUAUUGACAUGAAAUAACCCUUUUUCCUUUGAAGCUUUUGAACAGUUUGUGUUAAUAUUUUUGCUUAUUUGUUAAGGCAACAUAACUAACAUCCCACCAUACUGCACACACUAAUUAUGACAUAACCACACAAAGAUGAAUGAUAUGAAACAUUUCCUGUGAAUAUUUGACUUCAUACGGAGUUACAUUACAGGCAGUUAUCCCAAGGAAGGGACUGUACCUGCAAUUAGUGUUUAGUUGUGUUUAAAUUAGAAAUCAUAUAUGGCAUCCUCUUCAUUUAAAAUAAAAUGUGGUUUAAUCAGAUUUAUUAAAGUGCAGAAUAAAGCGUAGAUGUACAAAUUGAACAACUGUGUUUGUGUAGGUGGGUAAUUGUAAAUAGAAGGGUUUCUUUCUCUACAGGUGUCCCCAUAACGCUCUACAUUGAGAUCACACUGGAGAUGCGAUUUCUCGAGGAUUGCAAGAGAUGCUGGCUGCUUGGGCAUUAAAGGAGGAGCAACAAGUCUGUGUCACAACAGACAACACAGCAAAUAUAGUGAACGCUGUUGCUAUUAAUAAGUGGAGCAGACUCCAGUGUUUUGGACACAGGACACAUGCUGCACCUAGCAAUUGAACAUGCUUUGAAAGAUGGACUGAUUGACUGUGCACUGAAUGUCUGCAGUGGUGGUGUGGUGCUUCUCCUAUAGCUGGAGACGAAAGAGGGAAUUGUCCAAGGCCCAGAAAGAGCUCAGGUUACCUCAACACAAGCUCAAGACUGAUUUUCCAAAGAGGUGGGGCUCAAAACAAGCAAUGAUUGUCAGGGUGUUGGAACAACAGAGUGCCAUUUCUUGUGUUCUCUCCGUGGUCAGAAUAGCCAGACACUUUUUCCCCACGUCAGGAUGUAAAAGUCCUUGAGGCAGUCAACAACCCCCUUUCUCCACUUGCUGAAUUCACUGAUGCUCUUUCAGGAGAGCAAUAUAAAAGUGUAUCAUAUGUGAAGCCUGUUCUUCAUUUGUUCAACAAUAAAAUCUUUGCAGAGAAAGAGGGAGAAACAGAACUGUCAAAAUGCUGAUGAUACACAGACUGAAGAGUUGCUUGACAUGGCUUCUGCAAUUGAUCCCAGAUUCAAGCUUAAGUACGUCAACAAAGACAGAGUUGAAGCUGUCAAGAUUAGUUUGAAAACUGAAAUGGCAUCAGUAUUUACAGUUAUGAAGCCUCAAUCAUCUGUGAGUGUGACUGUUAGAGAGGAAGCAGAAGACCAAAAUGCACCAGCACUAAAGAAGAUCAAAAAAAAAAAACACUGGACAGCUUCUUUAAAGUGGAUGGACCACAGACCAGCAUCAAUAUCUCUCUUCAGUCUCCAAGACAUGGCCAUAACUGCUGAGCUACAGUCUUAUUUUCUCUCUGCUGCUGUUGAUAGUGAGGAGAAUCCUUUGGUCUGGUGGAAGGAUCAUGCAAAACAAUUCUCAGAACUGUCCCAAGUUAGCACAGAAGUAUUUGUGCAUUUCUGCCACAAGCUCUCCCUCUGAAAAGUAUACAGCAAUGGAGGAAACAUUAGCCACGUUUCCACUGCUGAAACUUUACCCAGGAACUAGGGACUUUGGGCUGGUACUCAGUGUGUUUCCACCACAGGAAGCAGGAUUUAAAUAAAGUUCCGGGUAAAAAAAAAUGCCCCUCAGAAAGUCCCUGCUCGAAAGGUAGUACUUUUUCAAAGGUCUGGAACUUUCGGGGGCGGGACUUGGGCGCUAAACAUGAUGAUUGGUUGAGUUCGCGCAGCAUUGUGAUUUGAACUACCAUUUAUUCAGAUAAUUUUCAAAAUAUUACUGUUAUUGUGUCAUGAAAUGUAGUUUUAAAAGUAUUUCAGGUGAGAAUGUUGUUGUUUAAAACUCAAAUCUUUGGUUUAUUUAUAAAGACAAUUUCGGAGACGAUCAGCGGGAGCUCAGUGCUCAUGUAUCCGCCUAGAGCAGUCUCAACUCGGCUAGUCCUUCUGGCAUUUGCUGCUGACUCUGAUGUCUUUUUAGUGAUUAAAAUUAAAAUAUCAUUUGUUUUGGGUAAAUCUAACAUGCAAUCUUUGGUUUUUAUUCAAUAUAUCUAUAUGUUAAAAUAUAAAUAAAAAGAGGCAAUUGAUAUAAUAUUUCAUUUAAUUUUAAUGUAGGCUGUAUAUAUACACAUUUCCCUGAACUAAGUACAUU